AAAUUGAAGAGUUUGAUCAUGGCUCAGAUUGAACGCUGGCGGCAGGCCUAACACAUGCAAGUCGAACGGUAACAGGAAGCAGCUUGCUGCUUUGCUGACGAGUGGCGGACGGGUGAGUAAUGUCUGGGAAACUGCCUGAUGGAGGGGGAUAACUACUGGAAACGGUAGCUAAUACCGCAUAACGUCGCAAGACCAAAGAGGGGGACCUUCGGGCCUCUUGCCAUCGGAUGUGCCCAGAUGGG
rnacentral:rRNA from 2 species